rnacentral:rRNA from 1 species
AACGAACGCUGGCGGCAUGCCUAACACAUGCAAGUCGAACGAGACCUUCGGGUCUUGUGGCCCACGGGUGCGUCACGCGACGGAGCCUUCCCUUAGGUUCGGAAUAACUUCCCGAAAGGGGCGCCAUUACCGGACAAUGUCUUCUACCCCAUGAUAUAUCGACUUAGGAUGGGUCCGCGUUAGAUUUGCGAGUUGGUCAGGUAAAAGCCAUCCAAGGCGAAGAUCCAUAGCUGGUCUGGGAAGAUGGUCAGACACACUGGGUCUGAGACACGGCCCAGACUCCUACGGAAGGCAGCAGUGGGGAAUAAUGGACGAUGGGCGAGAGCCUGAGCCAGCAAGGCCGCGUGAGUGAUGAAGGCGUGAGGGUUGUAAAGCUCUGUUAACCGGGAUGAUAAUGACAGUACCGGGAGAAUAAGCUACGGCUAACUCCGUG